rnacentral:lncRNA from 10 species
GAGGAAUGGAAGGGCAUGAAAGCACUCUCUUCAACCUCAAGCCCUGUUAGAGUGCUAAUCGUAUUUAUGAGGAGGAGACCUCAUGACUUACUCACCGCCAAAGACCACAUGUCUUAAUACUGUUGCAUCAGAGAUUAAGUUUUGAAAUAACUUUUGGAGGAGACACCACCAUAGCAUACCUCUACUCCAUUUCCUGUAGUGGUGAGGUCUUAAAAGCCUUACCCAACCCAUACAUCAUCCCAACCAGGAUAUUGACGUUAACACAAUCCAUUGAUCUCAUUCAGAUUUUCCCCAUUUUUCUUGCACUCACUUCUGUGUGUGUCUGCACAUGUUUAGUUCUAUGCAAUGUACAAGUUUGAGUCUCUACCACCACAGACAAGAUACAGAAGAGUUUCAUUACCAGAAAGAUCAGAGAUGUACUUUUGAAUGGAUGAAUAGUGCUUAAAAGAGAAAUGAGUUUUGUGGUUAGCUACUUAAGUCCCAUCCCCCGCUCCCUAUUCCACCUUUAAUAUUGUGGAAUUUAUCACUGAAAACUUCCUUUCUUCUCAAAUCAGGUAAUGUGUACGGUGAAGUUAACCUCAAUGUGACGUACCAAGGGCAUGUGAAAUCACAAGGAGAAAGUGCAGUAUUUACUGUGUGAGCAGCUAUUCCAGUCAAUGACAUUUCAGCUGGUGCCUCUGUACUCUAAAAAACACCUGGAAAGGACACGCCAGAAAGAAGAAGCCACUAAACAGGAAAAGGUCAUGAGAGAUGAGAAGAUGAUCAAGGGAAAAGGAUAUAGGAUGAAGAUACACAAGUUCGGGUGGGGAGGAGAAGAAGAAAAGGAAGAGGAUAAUUGGAAGGUAAAUUAGACUCCUGUAACUUGCUAACUAUAGUGUGGCCAUUUCCUAUUUGCAGUAGAAAUCUGUAGAACGACUUCUCAGGAGGUUCUCUUUCUUCUUCUAGGAAAUAUCUUUCUCUACCCCUGACCAAAUUGACUGGUUUGAGUUUGUUGCCUGAUGUAAGCAGCAUCAAUGAGCCCAAGGCUGUGGUACAUAAAGCCCACAAACUACAUGGAUUGUGAUAUUCAUCCAGACUGGAGAAGAAUAAAGCUGCCAUUUUAGGCCAAAAGAGAGGAGAACAAGGUGACUAAGAUGUUCAAGGAACUAUUUCUUAUUGUUUCUGAGGCUCAGAUGACCCCAUGAUCUCUGUUAUUUGGGUAGACCAUAAAAUAAUCUAGUGUCCUUUCAUUGAUUU